rnacentral:rRNA from 1 species
AAAAACUCCGGUGGUAUACGAUGGAUCCGCGUCUGAUUAGCCAGUUGGCGGGGUAACGGCCCACCAAAGCGACGAUCAGCAGCCGGCCUGAGAGGGUGAACGGCCACAUUGGGACUGAGACACGGCCCAAACUCCUACGGGAGGCAGCAGUGGGGAAUAUUGCACAAUGGGGGAAACCCUGAUGCAGCGACGCCGCGUGAGUGAAGAAGUAUCUCGGUACGUAAAGCUCUAUCAGCAGGGAAGAAAAUGACGGUACCUGACUAAGAAGCCCCGGCUAACUACGUGCCAGCAGCCGCGGUAAUACGUAGGGGGCAAGCGUUAUCCGGAUUUACUGGGUGUAAAGGGAGCGUAGACGGCAGCGCAAGUCUGGAGUGAAAUGCCGGGGCCCAACCCCGGAACUGCUUUGGAAACUGUGCAGCUCGAGUGCAGGAGAGGUAAGCGGAAUUCCUAGUGUAGCGGUGAAAUGCGUAGAUAUUAGGAGGAACACCAGUGGCGAAGGCGGCUUACUGGACUGUAACUGACGUUGAGGCUCGAAAGCGUGGGGAGCAAACAGGAUUAGAUACCCUGGUAGUCCACGCCGUAAACGAUGAUUACUAGGUGUCGGGGGGCCAAGGCCCUCCG